ensembl:lncRNA
CAAUAAUAUAUAUUGUAUAUAAAUGCUAGCAUAGGGUAUGAGGUAGAGUAAGUGUACGGCAGUGCAGUGGCGGUGGGUGCAAUUGGUCGAGGGUUUCUGCAGGUAGACCGGGUAGAGAGACUACAGCAGCGUCGCAUGGCGAAGAUAGUCUAGAUUAGGAGAGAAAGAAAAAGAACAGAGUGAGUGGGUUAUUAUAGGCAUUAGCAAUGUGAUAAGAAAGGAGAGGGAGAGAGAGAGAGAGAGAGAGAGGCUGCCUGGCUGGGUGUAUGGGGAUUUUAUUUAGUAUUUAGUUGGCUGGUGACAGUCGCAAUACGCGCCGUGUGCUGUACCCGGGAUCUUCCGCACUCCUUCACGGUACAACAUACGCUGUCUGUAGCCCAGUUAUGUUGAUUAGGGGGGUAUUGCAUGUGUUUUAGAUGUGUUUAGCUAUUCUGGCAUUUAGCAUUUAGUUUGGUUUGGCAUUUAGUUUGGUUUAGCAUUAGUUAUGUUUAGUUAUGCUGCCAUUUAGCAAUUAGUUUGGUUUGGUACAUGUGGAGAUUUUAGUCGUAAGCUUUGUUAGGGUUGCAGGGUACAACAUACGCUGUCUGUAGCCCAGUGAUAUACAUUUUUUAUUUAUUUAUUUAUUUUUCUUAUGUGUUCAGUUAUGUCUAGUUAUGCUUGCUGACUGGCUGGCCCAGCAGGUGAUGGGUUUGUUGACGCAAUUACUUAUGGCUAUUUAGUAAAUUCACCCCCAACAUUUCAACAUCUUAUGCAGCUUGUACUACAGGGACUGUCUUGGAAAACAUGCUUAGUGUACCUUGACGAUAUAAUUGUGUACAGUAAGACCUUCUCUGCUCAUCUGCUGCAUUUGAAGGAGGUGUUUGAACGUCUCAGAGCUGCAAACCUUAAAUUGAAACCGUCAAAGUGUGACUUUGUGCAAUCUCAGGUGACAUUCUUAGGACAUGUUGUAUCUGCUUCAGGUGUGCAACCAGACCCAAAGAAUAUUGACAAAGUGAGGGAUUGGCCAACACCUGAGAAUCCUACUGAGGUUAGGGCAUUCUUG